rnacentral:rRNA from 1 species
AAUAUCAAAGGUGAGCCAGUACAGGAUGGACCCGCGUCUGAUUAGCUAGUUGGUAAGGUAACGGCUUACCAAGGCGACGAUCAGUAGCCGACCUGGGAGGGUGAUCGGCCACAUUGGAACUGAGACACGGUCCAAACUCCUACGGGAGGCAGCAGUGGGGAAUAUUGCACAAUGGGCGAAAGCCUGAUGCAGCAACGCCGCGUGAG